ensembl:lncRNA
UUUUUUUUUUUAUCAAGAUAUUUUUAAAGAUUCCUGCUGGUUACCAGAGCACUCGUGUAUUGAUUAUUUUCACCAACAGAGAGCGCUUCGAGCUACAUUGAUUGCUUGGUCAUGUGCCGCUGCUUCAUGAAGAACUGAACCAGGACAACAGCAGGACGCUAUUAUCAUCAAUUCUCAAAAGAGACACCGUUGUCCCUAUCAAGAGACUGAAAUUGAUGGAGACACUUUAAUGAACCUAACUGAGACUAUGAAAGCUUAAAUAUUCCCAAAAAUGAAGGAUUAAGUCAAAUUCAUAAGAUUACAAGAAAACCUAAAGACUGAGAUGCCAGCAAGACCAAACACACCACGAGUAUGAAGCAGGUGCACACAACAAGGUGUCUUCAGCCCUUGUUACCAAAUACCAGUUCUUGAGAGAAAAGACUGGCAGAGGAUGUGCUUAAAACAAAUUCAAGAAAAAAGAAAGAUCACCUUUGAUUAAUGUUGAAGAAAUAAAUGAAAUGUGUUGCAGGUUCAGCAAAGUAAGAAAACAGAUCAUUUUACUAGGAGACCAUUAAAAUAUGGCAACUAUUGUAGAGAUGGAGGAUCUAUCUGGGCAAGAUUUGUAUCAAAAGAGGCCAAGGUCAGUUGGGGUAAGUGUCACAGAC